rnacentral:misc_RNA from 1 species
CGACCCUUUUGGAAUACUCGGGUAUUCUAAGAGGAGGAGGAAACGCCUCCUCCGCUGUUCAAGAAAGGGAGCAAUUGAUUCUUCCUCCUCCUUCUUCUGCUGCCACACAGUCUAGCACUGGUGCUCACCACCAGGAGGUUACUAUUAGGAUAGUUGGUGCUGCAGAUUCUAAUGUUGCCUCUACUGUUGAGGCGAUGCCCGCGUCAUCAGAUGAUCAACCUGGUGGAGCUGUUGCUUCCCAAACCCCAGGCGCAGAUGGGGCUUCCGCGAUCGCCACAGGCCCCUC